GCCGCCGUAGCUCAGUCGGUAGAGCAGCGGUUUUGUAAACCGCAGGUCGUGGGUUCAAGUCCCUCCGGCGGCU
rnacentral:tRNA from 2 species